GUACAUGCCUACAGUAUAGCGUUAAUGCAUCAGAGCUCAUUAGAACUCUGUAAUUAAGUGCGCUCAGGCUAGAGUAGUACUGGGAUGGAUGAUCGCUCGAGAAGUCCUAGUGUUUUACACA
rnacentral:rRNA from 1 species